AUACGGAGGAUCCGAGCGUUAUCCGGAUUUAUUGGGUUUAAAGGGUGCGUAGGCGGCCUUUUAAGUCAGCGGUGAAAGUCUGUGGCUCAACCAUAGAAUUGCCGUUGAAACUGGGAGGCUUGAGUAUGUUUGAGGCAGGCGGAAUGCGUGGUGUAGCGGUGAAAUGCUUAGAUAUCACGCAGAACCCCGAUUGCGAAGGCGGCCUGCCAAGCCAUGACUGACGCUGAUGCACGAAAGCGUGGGGAUCAAACAGGAUUAGAUACCCUGGUAGUCCACGCAGUAAACGAUGAUCACUAGCUGUUUGCGAUACACUGUAAGCGGCACAGCGAAAGCGUUAAGUGAUCCACCUGGGGAGUACGCCGGCAACGGUGAAACUCAAAGGAAUUGACGGGG
rnacentral:rRNA from 1 species